ACAGGAAAAUUAAAUACAUAAUUAGUACUGAAACAAUGCCAAUAUAAAAAAAAAAGUAUUCUUCGUCCAAGUUGAACUACAACUCGGAGGCCAAAGAAGAGGCAAGAACGAGGCCAAGGAGGAGAGCGGAGACCAAUCAUUUUGUCUCUGUAGCAGUGGGUGAAGGAAGAAGAUCUGUUCCUGCAAAGAUGCCAACAGAUCAUGCUUUGUUUUAUGCCAGUGACAUUUUGAGGCAGAACAGAUCAGCAAUAAAUAAUGUGAAAUUGGAUGUCCAUGGUAGACUCAUGAAAGCUUAUAAGCAAGUACCCGAAUGGUGGUCCAUGGUAGACUCAUGAAAGCUUAGAAGCAAGCAUCUUGGCAUUGUUUGUCGGCACUUUUGCAGGAGGAAGUCUUCGUCCUACAGCCACCGCUACAGGGACAAAAUGGUCGGUCUUCUCCUUAGCCUCCUCCUUGGCCUCCUCCUUGACUUCUUCAUUGGCAUCAACAGCAAGGCUUUUUUUUUUUUUCUCUCUUAGGGGUCGUGUCUCUAUUUUUGGUAAUGUGUCUUUGGUGUCUCAGUUGAAUGAGGUCAGAUGGAUUAGGGGUGGGGAGCAGUAGUUGGGAAUAGAGUUCUUACCUUGCGAAGGAACUGACAAAGUGUGUGAGAAAAGCUCGGAUUGGUCGUAAUUUUACUUAUAUACAUGCAUGUUGACUGAGUUGGGGAUGAGACUUCCUUUUACGGAUAUUUAAUGUGGGGUGUUGUUUCAAUUGAAUUGUGCUCCUAGCGUCGUGUGAGUUGCCGUCUGUUUCAAGUUUGUUGGAGCUUGAAGGUGAUAGUGAGGCGAUUGAGGAUUAUUUAGGUGAGAACGCUCCGACGCUGACUACUGCGAAUUUGAAAGCUUUUGUGAAUAAACAAAUGAAAAGUGAGAAAGAGGCGUCUUGGACGAACAUGGAGGGUGCUCAAUCUGUGGUUCACCGAGGUGCAGGGAAGAAGAGGAAAAUUGCUUAGCUUCAAUGACUAAGGUCGUUGAUUUGACUGUUGGAAAGGAUGGUGGUGGUGCUUUCUCGAUGGAGGAGUUCAGUUUAUAUAAUUCAUUCUUUGUUAAUUUAAUGUAGCAAGCAAGCAAGUGCAUCUUGGUACUCUUAAAUGACUAACACUUUUAGUUGUAUUAUAGUAGUGAAUAGUAGGGAUGAUAAUAAUAUACUCACCCAUGUGCAAUGGGAUUUCUAUAAAUCUACUGAUAUCAUCAUCAUAUUUUUGCAAAAGCUCAGUGCUACCAACUUAGCCAUCCAUAUGCUGUACAUAUUGAUAUGGUGAUUGUGAUUGGUUGGUGUGUUAGUUGUAGGGACCUUGCAUG